rnacentral:rRNA from 1 species
UACAGAGGGUGCGAGCGUUGUUCGGAAUCACUGGGCGUAAAGCGCACGUAGGCGGAUUGCUAAGUCAGGGGUGAAAUCCUGGAGCUCAACUCCAGAACUGCCUUUGAUACUGGCAACCUUGAGUCCGGGAGAGGUGAGUGGAACUGCGAGUGUAGAGGUGAAAUUCGUAGAUAUUCGCAAGAACACCAGUGGCGAAGGCGGCUCACUGGCCCGGUACUGACGCUGAGGUGCGAAAGCGUGGGGAGCAAACAGG